rnacentral:rRNA from 1 species
GAUGAACGCUGGCGGCGUGCCUAAUACAUGCAAGUCGAGCGAACAGACGAGGAGCUUGCUCCUCUGACGUUAGCGGCGGACGGGUGAGUAACACGUGGAUAACCUACCUAUAAGACUGGGAUAACUUCGGGAAACCGGAGCUAAUACCGGAUAAUAUAUUGAACCGCAUGGUUCAAUAGUGAAAGACGGUUUCGCUGUCACUUAUAGAUGGAUCCGCGCCGCAUUAGCUAGUUGGUAAGGUAACGGCUUACCAAGGCAACGAUGCGUAGCCGACCCGAGAGGGUGAUCGGCCACACUGGAACUGAGACACGGUCCAGACUCCUACGGGAGGCAGCAGUAGGGAAUCUUCCGCAAUGGGCGAAAGCCUGACGGAGCAACGCCGCGUGAGUGAUGAAGGUCUUCGGAUCGUAAAACUCUGUUAUUAGGGAAGAACAAAUGUGUAAGUAACUAUGCACGUCUUGACGGUACCUAAUCAGAAAGCCACGGCUAACUACGUG